UUUAAAUCUGAGUGAGGAUAAAUUCUACUCACUUUUAAUCUUUCUUCUUUUUUUUAGCUGCCUAGGUACCCUGUAGAGUGUCUGUAGUUUACAAGACACAUAGAGAGCAAACUAAAAAAAAUUAACUCAUAACUAACGAUACUACAAUUCAGAUAUGCAGAAGAGUCACCACAUGCUGGUUGACAGAGAGAAAAUUUAACCAAAACUCUAGUCCUAUUUAAAGCCUAGGGUGACCUUACAAUGUAAGCAUCUUUUUGGGUAGUGUUCAUUCUAGGAUGAAAAUCUUUAGUUCUCAUAUAGCUUCUCUUUUGGAUGGUGUCCAGGUUUAAAAGAAGAAAAAGUGGAUUUUGUUUCCCUGUGGUGCUGAGGAGAAGAGACUCUGGCCUCCUGUUGUCCUCCUCUGAGGCCAAAAAGGAGCAGCCUCUUCUCCUUCUGGAGCUUCCCCAGUGAAAACUGCACGUCGGUGCAGUCAAGCCGGCCCUGGAUAUGUUCACGAGGAGGUCAAGGAAUUUAGUUGCUGCUCAUAGGACAGAGGCUGCGUACCUUCUCAGCAUCUUUGUAUUGUCCUCAGCUCAACAAUAUCCUUUUCAUUUGGAUUGUGGUGUGUGGAACUGAACUCAAUACUCCAGGCGAUUGGUUUAAAAAUGUGCAUCCUUGGUGCAAUGGAAUAUUGUGAAACUGCUGAAAAUGAGUCUCCUCACGAGUAAACAAAAUUGAUGAGACCGCGCUCGUGCACAGGCACACGGCGGGCGGCACAGCUCCCAGCGGUCACCGUUUACUGAACUGCCAGAAGUGGAGCGAUCACAAGCCGAGUCUGAUAGAGUCCCAUCUCAACCAGGCUCUCUGAGGCACCCAUGGUCGUUUGUAUCAAUGCCUGCCGGAGAUGCCACUGGCUUCAGCCUUUGCUCAAAAAGAGCAGCUCCACCUCUCAGCCGCUUGCCUGCCCGGGCUGCCCCCAGCAGCUGUUUCCCAGCCAGCCCCAGGCACGGCUCACUGCCAGGGAGCAGAAGAACAUGCCUGAGUGAAUCCUUCCAGUCCUCUUUGUCUCUACUGAGGAUUACUCCACUGCGUCCACAGCACAGCCACUGCUGGAGAGAGCGCUGCCGGGUCUGCUCACGUGGCAGGCUCGCUCGGAGCUGGGAAGCCAGUUGCUUCCUUGUGGACAAAGGCCUAACACUGUGACCUACGGAGUCCACAUUCCCCUGUUUGAAAGACAGAUAAUAACUUACUAAAAUAAAAUUUUGAUGCAUUUUUCAAUUUCUGACUUAUAACAUUCAAAUAACCCUAUUCUGAAGACAGUGUAAAAAUCACUAAAAUGAAUCUUCACGUUGCAUUUUUUUUCAGUUUGCUGGCUACUCAUUCCUAUGAAAUGUCUUUACAAGUUUAGCUUUAUAUGAUUGAGGUGAAACAGCACAAAACAUUCAAUUUCCUGUUAUAGUAGGUAUCUUGUUACUAACGGUGUCUUAGGACUCAAAUCAGAACAAAAAAAUAUCUUUACUAAUUUCCUUCCUUAACAACAUUCUGUGACUUGCUUCCUUUCAAAUCUCCUUUCGGAUGUAUAACUUUUCUAAUUUAGUGUGACUCUCCUUAUUUUCAAAAUAUACAUUCGAAUUUAUUUUCAAAUGUAUAUUUUACCUAAUUUACUGUUUCUCUUCCUAGUCUCGAAAUGUAUACACCUGAAUCACAUUUCAAAUGUAUGUUAUUGUCAUCAUCCAUUUGAAGUUUUGCUUCUUACUUGUCAAUUCAAGCACCCCCCUGCUAGCUGGAUCCCCAUACUGUUUCUGACAAUGUUGGGGGGUCUUGAAUUGUUCUCCAGUAUAAAAGGGAGCACAUAAAAGUGGUGGAUCAAGAACGGAUGUGUGUCCAGUUUAUGACUCAUCGCCAAUCUAGCUCAUUUCUUCCUACAUAGAGAUCUCACAUAACCAACGAAAGCUAUGUUUCAAAAUCAUCUGGGUCUGUGGUCUUAGUUCCACUUCCUCUAGUUAAGCCCUACUUACCUCUUACUCUUGGGUUAAGCAUCGCUUCCUCAGGGAAUCCUUCUCUGACCACAUCCUACCCCCACCACAAACUGAUCCAGACACUCCAGUUAUGUAAUCCAGCCUCUUAUGCUUUUCACCAUAGUGUUUAUUACAAUUUUUUAUUUAUGAUUCUCAGCACUUAUUUGAUUAAUGUCUAUCUCCCUUCACUAGACUCUUAAACUCAUUGAGGAGACUGAUAUUCUCUUACGCCCAUGUCCUGAGCCUAGAAUAAGGCUUGGCUCAUAGUAGAGGAUUCAUUAAAUAUUUAGUGAAUAAAUGAAUAAAUAAAUGAAUGAAUAAAGAGAUGAAAAAAUGAAAGAAUGACUACGGUUCUGGUCACUAGAACCAUGACCAGCACGUGGUGGCGCUCAAUAAAAUGAUAGCCGAUAUUAUCAUUGUGAGUCUCCACUCCAGAGCAAAUCAAUUUGCUGAGUGUUUCAGUUUGUUGAAAUUGAAUGGCUUCAAUUCGAUGAUUAUGGCUUCAGAAACUGAAAGUUAUGUGCUCCUUCAGGUAUGCAGUUUCCUGUAGUUGAACUGUUUUCUGUAGCUUUGCAAUAGACAGAUAUGUAGCUAGAAAUAGAAUGAUUUAUAUAUGUGUGUAUGAGUACAUGUAAAC
rnacentral:lncRNA from 1 species